GACGAACGCUGGCGGCGUGCUUAACACAUGCAAGUCGAACGAAGUGGCGAACGGGUGUGUAACGCGUAAUCAACCUGCCCUUCAGAGGGGGACAACAGUUGGCAACGAAUGCUAAUACAGCAUACUGAAGGAGGGGAGUACGUCUGAUUAGAUAGUUGGAGGGGUGACGGCCCACCAAGGCGAUGAUCAGUAGCCGGUCUGAGAGCAUGAACGGCCCCAUUGGGACUGAGACACGGCCCAGACUCCUACGGGAGGCAGCAGUGGGGAAUCUUCCGCAAUUGACGAAAGUCUGACGGAGCAACGCCGCGUGAGUGAUGACGGCCUUCGGGUUGUAAAGCUCUGUUAAUCGGGACGCGGUACCGGAAUAGAAAGCCACGGCUAACUACGUGCCAGCAGCCGCGGUAAUUC
rnacentral:rRNA from 1 species